UGUAGGGUAAUCGAUCAAUACAUUGCAUUCGUGGUAAUCAAUGGUACAUUGCGUGCGCAAACAGCUCAACAAAUUAUUCUACUGCUGUACCUCUUUUCACGUAAAAAUAACUAUUAGACCCAAAAACCCGAUUAUUAGCGAAAGCGAAAGAAAAAUUCGGAUUUUGAAACGAUGGGUGACGACGAUUGCCCUGUUGCUAGUGCUAGUGGAGUACACAUUGGAAACGGCGAAGCUGCAGCAAGUUCAUUGGAAGAAAAUGUGGAAGACGGACUCACCUUAGACCUUCCUGGGCCCAGAAUAACCAUGCCGUCAAUCAGGACAAUGACCGAUGAACAAAAGUGGCACCGACUUCUUGGCCACAUUGAUGUGAAUCUUUUAUAUGUAAUGUGUAGGUACCAAUGUUUAACUGGACUGCCAACUGAGUUCAAUAUAAAUAACGCAGAAUGCAAUGUUUGUGCGAAAGUUAAAAAAUCUCCUAUAGAAUCGGUGUAUAAUCGUAAUACAGUAAAAUCUUCAAAUAUUCUAGAAGUGAUUCAUAUGUAUGUGUCUGACAAAAUGAGGACCAGUAGAAGGGGGAAUCAUUAUUAUAUCAGUUUCGUUGACGACUAUACCAAAUAUGUUUUCACUUGUGUUAUUAGUAAUGUUAGUGAGAUAUUGAAAUAUUUGAAACUGUAUGUUGAUCAUGUGGAACGCUACACAAGGAAGAAAGUCAAGAACAUAAUAUGGGACAAUGGCCAUGAGUAUAUAAAUGGAGAUUUUCUUAGAUUUGCAAAUCAGAAAAGAAUAAAAAUGCGUACUGGUAAUAAUAUCACUGGAGUAGGCUUUACUUAUGGUAAUAUAAUUUUAGAUCGGGCUAAGAAAAUGUAUGCAGAUGCUGAGGUUACAAUGACCUACUGGCCCGAGUGUAUACUAAAUGCUUCUACAUUAUUAAAUUUGGCUAUAAAGAAUAGAAAUGAUAGAAUGACUCCAUAUGAAAAACUAUUACAUGAAAAACCAUGUGCGGAUAAACUGAAAAUAUUUGGUAGUAAUUGUUAUGUGUACCAAAUAAUGUUCCAUUAUCCAAUACUCCAAACGGGAAAAAUAUUGGGGUACAUUAACUUAGGCUACCGUGUUUUACAAGAAAAUGAUGUAUUAAUAAACCCCUACAUUUCUUGCUUUGAGUACGAGUAUUAGUUAUUUUUCACUUUUUAUGGUUCCACAUUGUCGAUGGUUGAUGCAUAUUCAGUUAACAACUAGUUUAUUUGUUUUGUUUCUUAGGAUUUCGUUGUUAUUAAUUUUUUUAUCUGUACUUGUAAAUGACUUACUUGUUCUAAUGUAAGCAUAAAUUAGAUACCGCGCCAGUUCUUUAAUAAUUCUGCUAAAUGGUAGAUACCUUCUACUUGUUUUCUGUCACAGUAAAUAAUCUGCUAUUACUUUAGUGUUAAGGCGAAAUUUCACUCCAGUACUUAGUUGAGAUAAAAAUGUCUUUAAUAUUAGCUACUUUAGACUAUACACAUGGUCACCUUUAAGUAUUUUAAUCCACACAUCAGUGAAAUAAAUACUUAUGGUUAUUAUAACUGUACUUAGAUAUUCUAAGGAUAUAAGUUUAACUGAUCUCUAUAUGUCUAUAAUCAGUAUUUUUAAGAAUUAUUAAAAUAAGAGUUAAAUACGCAGGUAACUACUCAUUUAGAUGGUUAGGUAAUUACUUGAAAAUGAAUUAACACAUUAUAUGUGUAAAUAGGUAUCUAUGUAAUAGGUAUAUUAAUUAAUCAAUGUUUGGAUUUAACAUUAUAAAUAAUUGUAUUAAAACUUGUGAUAUAUCAAGUAAUUAUGUGUAUAGUAAUCUAGUCAAAAUGGAUUAUGUAGGUGUCUAUAUUUAGUGGCCAAAUAAGUAGUAGUACGAGUAUAACUACUUAUAUUGUAAUGGUAUAUUCUGGCUAGGGAGCAUAGUUUCCUAGGGUCAUCAGAUGAUGAUUUAGUCUUUUAAAAUAAACUUAUUAGGUAUAAUAAUAUUACUACUUAAUUUAAUGUCCUAAUUAAGUAUAAUGUGACUGAGUUUUUCUCUUCUUUAUAAUAUCACAACUGUAGGAUCCAAUCUAUUUAUACGUAGGUGUAUGUACAAGUAUACUGGUAGUAAGAGUGUUUUUGAAACAAAUUAUAUUUAUUAUAUUAAGUACCUACUAAUAUUUUAUUGAUCUCUACCAUUCA